UAAGAAUCAGCCAGUCCAGCCCCUCGCUCUUUGCAGGAGCACCUCACACUCCACACUCCUUGCUGCCCUCGGGUGCUUUGGGCUACAGCUGCCACUUCACACUGGGAGGAUCCCAGUCUGUACUGGGACCAUCCCAGUCUGUGCUGGGACCUGACCAGGGCAUCCAGUUUGUCCUGUCCCUUUCAGGAAACUGAACAGGAAUUAGCCAGAGACAGCAGCUGGAUCAUUUCAUAACACCUGCUCAAAAGGAAGCAGCAAGAAAAGCAACAGGUUCACACUGUGCUGUGAGGAUGGCCCUACAGCAGCUGAAGGGGUUUUCCCAUUCCCAGUGCACAGAGCUACUGGAGAAAUGUCUCUCCACACCAGGAGAUGCAGCUGCUGUCCCCCAUCCAUCAGUUUCUUUGAGGAUGAUGGCAUCCUUUCCCUGCAAGCUGAUGCACCUUUGGCCAGGAAGAGGCCUUUAAACUGCAUUUUGUAGCCUCGAAAGAAACACCAGCAAGGUGCUAGGCAGCAGCAACAGCUCACCUGGGGUGGCAGGAGCCCCAGGACAGAUGCUGGGACACUCAGUCCUGCCCCAGUGCUGCUGCCACAGGUGCUGCCACUGCAUCCCUGUGUGAGCAGCUCCCUCGCUGGGCUUUUGGCACAUCCUUUGCUGGGCUGUAAACGUCAAAGCAGACGGCAUCUGCUCUCUGUGCCUUGCUGUAAUUAGGAAACAAUAUUAUUAAAACCACUUCCCAUCUCUG